AGUGAACAGAUGAUACAUACUCCUUUCUCAAAACUAUCGGCUACUCCCUCUCUCUCUACUGCAUUUCUUCAAACAGAACCCCCAACUCCACCUCUCUCUCUCUUUCCCUUAAGCCCCUUUUUUUUCUUUCGAAAGAGUAGAUCGAAACAAAACAAAACAGAACAAUUUAAAGUCCCAAAACAAAAAUCGUCGUUUCUCCAAUUCGCCGCUGCACCAGAGUCGAUGCCGCUGCUGACUCCGAUUCAUCACCCGCGUCCACCGCCGUCGCUCGGCGCCGCUGCGUCGCCGCUCCGGCGGCCUCGAAUUCGUUCGAAACAACUCGGUUUCUACCCGAUUAACCCCGUAAGGUAAGUUCUUAAAUUUUGAUUAAGUUGAUUGUUUUAAUUGGGUUCUCGAGUUUCGAUUGACGUAAAAAGUGAUAUGCUUGAUGUUUGGAGAAUUAAUAGAGAGGGUGAGAUUUAUACCUUCGCUGGACAAAUUGGCUUUGACAGGAGAUCGAAGCUUCUGGUUUCCCCCUUUCCGGAUUUGGUUCCAAAUUUCUGUCAAGAAAAGGUUCUGGUCUGAAAUCACCUUACGAAGAAAAAUAAGGGGGAACCGUGAAAAGAAUGAUUACCGUGUUGAAACUAGGAUUUGGUUGGGAAAGGAUGAGCUCCUUCUUCCUACUGCUUCCUCCGCCGCCUGAGGAAAUUUUUGAGGUGCAAAGUGAGAAUGAGUGACUGCGAAUUUGUGUGAGGAAAAUGGAUUAGGGUAUGGGUAUUAAUAUACCGUGUAUUGAGAGUCAUUUCUGGUGAUUGAUUUCACUUUGAUUAUGGUCACAAAUUAGGAAAGAUUUGCAGAGGAGAAGCGGUUAUGGAGCGUGGGAGGGAAACGUGGAAUUGAUUCUCAAAAUAAAAGCAAUUAAAGGUGAUUGGGGUUUAUUUUUGGUGCAGAUUGAGGAUUGGAAAAAAACGCAAAUGUGCUGAAGAUCAAAGGGGAGAAGAGAAGAUAAUCGUAUAAGAGAGGAGGGGAGAAUCUCUCCAGAAUAUUUAUUUAUAAAUUGAAAACAAGGGAAUUCUUGGUGACCAAGACAAGGAAUAAGGAUCUAUAACUUAUUUGGGAUUUCGAGCAUCAGUAUUUUAUUUAAAUUGUGUAGCCAACGAUAUUAUUAUUUUUUUAAUUUAUUGAAUCCAACACGGAGUUGAGUCAAAUAAAUAAUCCUCAAGGAAAGGAUUUAAUUAA